UACGGAGGGUGCGAGCGUUAAUCGGAAUUACUGGGCGUAAAGCGCGCGUAGGCGGUCUGAUCAGCCGGUUGUGAAAGCCCCGGGCUCAACCUGGGAACGGCAUCCGGAACUUUCAGGCUAGAGUGCAGGAGAGGAAGGUAGAAUUCCCGGUGUAGCGGUGAAAUGCGUAGAGAUCGGGAGGAAUACCAGUGGCGAAGGCGGCCUUCUGGACUGACACUGACGCUGAGGUGCGAAAGCGUGGGUAGCACACAGGAUUAGAUACCCUGGUA
rnacentral:rRNA from 1 species